CUGUAAGGCUCUGCAUCUGAAUGGGACUCGCAAUUACAUGAGUCACUGCAACUAUCCUUUGAAUUUUUUUUGUACACGUGAUCUGAAUCCACAACUGCUGGAGCCUGAAGCUUGCUCUGUGCAUUCAAAGUGCCACAACAAAAUGGGCUGAAGUGCUCAUUCCAAACAUUCAGUUUGGAGCUGUUCGUGGCAAGCAGCACAGUGUUUUGUCACUGCUGUCACUUCCUUGUGAAGAGUGGUGGAGAAGCAGAGAGGAUUUCACCUUGAACACAGCCCUCCCUAGACUGCCAGCUGACAGAACUUUGUGGUUCUCUCUUCUACACCCUUCUGGGUCAGCCCAGGGCCAAACCUGUGCUCCAGAGGCUUUUCAGGGCACAGUUCUGUGACACAACAAAUACAGGCUGCAAGUUUGAAACAUAGAUGUUCAACAGGCUCUUCUGAGGUCAUUUAUUUGGUUGGAAUCCUUUUGAGCAUGAAACAUUUCUGUAACGUCUGACAAAAUAUGGAAACAUUCUCAGAUGAAAGGAUACAUGCAUUCCAGAAAAAAAUCCACUGAAAUCUAAAGAAACUCUUCUUCGAAUACUUACGUGCAAACUCUUCAGUUAUGCAAUUUUAAUAUGGUGGAAAGAAAGAAGUGUAAGCUAUUAAAUUUGUAUUAAAGCUUAGGAAGCAAAUUAAAACAAAAUAACAUACAUAUUAUUAAUGAAUAGCUACAGUGCAAGGUGCGUAAUUACAUGUUAAUUAAAUUCUUUCCUUAUUAUAUCUACAGUGCCUCAAAAUAAUGUUUUCCCUCUAUGUAUUUUCCUUGUAGCAAUAUUUUAUGAAAAAAAAACCAUAGGUGUAAAGCAGAAACUGCUAAGUAUUUCACAACUGGGAGAAUGAAACUGCAGCUUUUUUUUUUUUUUUUUACUUAGAAUUUGUAUUCAGAAAUAAACUGAACUUCAACAUGUUUUAAUUAUGUGUCCUUCUGUUUAUAAUCUUCAACUUAAGUCUAAACUAAACAACAAUGCUGGCUGAACACUGUAAAUUUGAGGGACUGGGAUGAAAUACUUCCAGGUAAAUGUUAAUAGAACCAUUUUCCUCUAUACAAAAAUAAUUUGGAUCAGGUAGUGAGCCAGCCUCUGUAUGUGCCAUCCCCUGCUGACCAAUUCCUGCAAAACUCAGCAUCACCUUUCUUAUCUGACUAUUUAGGACUUCUCAGUUUUUCUCUUCUCCAAGUCUAAGCUUCUUCCUGCAUUUGCAGCUUUUCAUUGAAGUCUGCCUGUAAAGAAAAUCAGAAGAAAGAAGUGGUUAUGAUGGAGCUAUCUUAGGCUGCACAUUGUCUUUGUGGUUUUGACACAGUGUAGAGCAGCAAGGCAGACAUUAUCCUCCACACCUUCCUGUUUUGCAGACAGAACAGUGUUCCAGUCUGUCCUUACGUGAUAACAUGUUAUCACAUUGCCGUGCACAAUUCCAAGGGAUGGCAUGGCUGCCAUGAGCAGGAAGUGAUCUGGGACAGCCAUUCCUCACGUAACCUUGUCUUGGGAGAUAGGUUAAUUUUCCUGUAUUCUCAGACAGCCUUUAUCAAUAGACACCAAAUCAGAAAAAUUGCUUUGGGAUCUGGUUGUUCCUACUGUUUUCCUUUGAUGCAGAUGUUUGUUCUCUAGUGUAAUGUGUUUUAUUGAAACAGUGCUGGAAUUAAAAAGCAUUACUGAAAAUGAACAAUAAAAAAAUGUAUUUCUGUGA